CUUUGGUAGGCACUCAAUCAUUCAUCUUUUUCUUCUUCUUUUUCUUUGUUUAUUACUUGUUCUUCGUUUGGGGGUGAAGGAGGAACAUAUAGGUGAUAUGUUGUUGACAGAAGAUAGAGAGCACAGAUGAUGAUAUGCAAUUUCUUUUGUUUUUGAUAGACAUUUUACAGACCACUGUGCAUCUCACUCCAUUUGUGCUCUCUAUGCUUCUGUCAUCACCUUCUUUAGCUUUGCUGUCUCUUUUUUCUUGAUUUGUAGUUAAUUUUAUGUGUUGUUCUAUGUAAAAGUCUUUUAAAACUCUCAAGCAUUAUCUUAAAGUUGUGAAUUUGUGUCACUUGAGCGAUUAGUGAGCUGUUUGUCCUAAGAAAUGAGCUGAUUCCUGUGUUGGGUGUUUUGUGUUUUAGUUCAAAUUGUGCAAUUUUCAAGUCUUGUUUGGCAAGGGUUUUGAGUUUCACAUUCUUACAUCUUUUCUUCAACUUUCCCUUUUCAUCUUCUAACGCUUCUGGUCCUCCUAUGGAUUGUGAGGUUUCAUAUCGGCUAGACAAGGGAACGAAACAUUCCUUAUCAGAGUCAGUCACCGGAUGAAGCAAGACCCUCUUCAUAGUACCUUGAGGGGAGACAAUAUCUGCUGCUAACGGUCAAACGACUCAUUUUUUGGUGAAUUGAGCAAAGAAAGGAUCAUAGAUACACUUGAUGAAAUGAUGAAGGGGUGCAGCAUAUCUUAAGAGAGUAAAGAGGAAUAUUCCUCAAAAGAGAAGCAAAAAAACGAGGCUCACACGGAUCCUUCUCAGACAUCUUGAUCCAGUGGGUUUGAGACAAGAUUGAUAUUAAUGAUGUAUUAAUGUUUCACCAUGUUAUGCAUGUGGAUUAAGAGACAUAAUCCUUAUUAGUGUUCUUUGUUAUGCAUGAAGAAGGAGUUGUUUUUGUUGGUGGAUUGAUGAGUAGCUAAUGAGAGACAGUGACAGCCCUUUGUGUGUGUUGUUGGAGCAAAUAAGAAGCACACAAAAGAGGAAAGAUUCCACUCGACUCUGCCCUAGUGGUCUCCCCCCUCCACCCACUUUCACUCACUUAACUCAUCUCCUUCAUUCAUAACAUGUACCCAACUUUGGAAUCAUAAUAUUCAAACUGCCUUCUAUUUCUCUCUCUUAAU